GUGGAGGAGAAGUUGCAAACAUUAACUUGUAAGCUCAGAGCAGAACUUCUCAUCUGUCCCCCAGUUGGCUGAGAAACAUUGUUUAUCAUGGACUCAAAACAACAACAUGCUAUUGUGCUUAAGUUUCAGGAGAAUGGACAAAAUCACUUAAAAUUUCUUCAGAGGCAGAAAAGGAGUAACUGAAAUGGUUAGCCUUGAUCACCUGGCAUUACACUUCUUAUAGCUUUCAAAACAAUAGGCCUUAAGAAAAAGAACCUAGUGAAUUCCCUGAUGCAUGUGAAUGGAUCAAUUUAACAACAUCAUGGAUUCUGCACCACCCAUUGUUCAUCACUUUAUGUAAAUAACACAAGAGCACUUGGAAAACCUUGAAAUAGUUCAAGCAUAAAAGUCCACAGUGUAUUUCAAAUUUAUGCCUGGGGUGUCAAUAACGUAGACAAUAGAAAGAAUAACAUGCAAUCUAAUUUGAAGUUUUUAAUCUUAGCCUAAUGAAUUCAAUCAGCAACUGAAGAAAAAAAUCUAUUUUUUUCUUGUUGAAGAAAUGUGUAUUUUUUAUUAUGAGAGAAGGGCUUAUAUGUUUUGUUUUCAUAUUAUUAGGGGGUAAAACACAAUCCAGGACAGGGGCCUGGCCUGUAGGGGGGAUCAAAUAAUCCAGUUGGAAUCUUUGUGUGCUUGAGUUUUCUCCUAAUGCCUUUCUACUGGGGGCUCCAGGAAGGACAAAUUGUUCUGUUUGAGGGGGAAAAGACAUGUCACUAGGCGCUUGUUGUAGGAAACCUAUGAUAAAAGGAGAAAAAUUCUCCCAUUGACUUUUGAGAGAUAAAAGGUCUAGGGGAGAAAGUUAGGAGAGAGGCAGUGUGCUACGGACAUUCUCCAGGGGAAUGGGUUGGUGGUGCAGGAAGC
rnacentral:lncRNA from 1 species